CCUACGGGUGGCAGCAGUGGGGAAUAUUGCACAAUGGGGGAAACCCUGAUGCAGCGACGCCGCGUGAGUGAAGAAGUAUUUCGGUUUGUAAAGCUCUAUCAGCGGGGAAGAAAAUGACGGUACCUGACUAAAAAGCCCCGGCUAACUCCGUGCCAGCAGCCGCGGUAAUACGGAGGGGGCAAGCGUGAUCCGGAUGUACUGGGUGUAACGGUCGCGUAGACGGCCCGACAAGACAGAAGUGACAGCCCAGGGUUCAACCCUGGGACUGAUUCUGAGACUGCCGGGCUGGAGUGAAGGAGAGGUCAGUGGAAUUCCUAGUGUAGCGGUGAAAUGCGUAGAUAUUAGGAGGAACACCAGUGGCGAAGGCGGCUUACUGGACUGUAACUGACGUUGAGGCUCGAAAGCGUGGGGAGCAAACAGGAGUAGAUACCCCUGUAGUC
rnacentral:rRNA from 1 species